rnacentral:rRNA from 1 species
AUUGAACGCUGGCGGCAGGCCUAACACAUGCAAGUCGAGCGAGCGGCGGACGGGUGAGUAAUGUAUGGGGACUGCCCGACAGAGGGGGAUAACUACUGGAACCGGUAGCUAAUACCGCAUACUAUCGGAUAACCCAUAUGGGAUUAGCUAGUGGGUUGGUUAAUGGCUCACCUAGGCGACGAUCCCUAGCUGGUCUGAGCGGAUGAUCAGCCACACGGGAACUGAGAAACGGCCCAGACUCCUACGGAGGCAGCAGUGGGGAAUAUUGCACAAUGGGCGCAAGCCGGAUGCAGCCAUGCCGCGUGUAUGAAGAAGGCCCUAGGGUUGUAAAGUACGUUCAGUCGGGAGGCGUUACCGACAGAAGAAGCACCGGCUAACUACGUGCCAGCAGCCGCGGUAAUUC